rnacentral:rRNA from 1 species
UACGUAGGGUCCGAGCGUUGUCCGGAAUUAUUGGGCGUAAAGAGCUCGUAGGCGGCCUGUCGCGUCGGAUGUGAAAGCCCGGGGCUUAACCCCGGGUCUGCAUUCGAUACGGGCAGGCUAGAGUUCGGUAGGGGAGAUCGGAAUUCCUGGUGUAGCGGUGAAAUGCGCAGAUAUCAGGAGGAACACCGGUGGCGAAGGCGGAUCUCUGGGCCGAUACUGACGCUGAGGAGCGAAAGCGUGGGGAGCGAACAGG